GGGGAAUAUUGCACAAUGGAGGAAACUCUGAUGCAGCGACGCCGCGUGAGGGAAGAAGGUCUUCGGAUUGUAAACCUCUGUCUUCAGGGACGAUAAUGACGGUACCUGAGGAGGAAGCACCGGCUAACUACGUGCCAGCAGCCGCGGUAAAACGUAGGGUGCAAGCGUUGUCCGGAAUUACUGGGUGUAAAGGGAGCGCAGGCGGGAAGGUAAGUUGGAUGUUUAAUCUACGGGCUCAACCCGUAUCAGCAUUCAAAACUAUUUUUCUUGAGUAGUGCAGAGGUAGGCGGAAUUCCCGGUGUAGCGGUGGAAUGCGUAGAUAUCGGGAGGAACACCAGUGGCGAAGGCGGCCUACUGGGCACUAACUGACGCUGAGGCUCGAAAGCAUGGGUAGCAAAC
rnacentral:rRNA from 1 species